AGAUUGAACGCUGGCGGCAGGCCUAACACAUGCAAGUCGAGCGGAUGAAGAGAGCUUGCUCUCUGAUUCAGCGGCGGACGGGUGAGUAAUGCCUAGGAAUCUGCCUGGUAGUGGGGGACAACGUUUCGAAAGGAACGCUAAUACCGCAUACGUCCUACGGGAGAAAGCAGGGGACCUUCGGGCCUUGCGCUAUCAGAUGAGCCUAGGUCGGAUUAGCUAGUUGUGAGGUAAUGGCUCACCAAGGCGACGAUCCGUAACUGGUCUGAGAGGAUGAUCAGUCACACUGGAACUGAGACACGGUCCAGACUCCUACGGGAGCAGCAGUGGGGAAUAUUGGACAAGUGGGACGAAAGCCUAGACUCCGAGCCAGUCGCCGCGUGGUGUAGAAG
rnacentral:rRNA from 1 species